UACGGGGGGAGCAAGCGUUGUUCGGAUUUACUGGGCGUAAAGGGCGCGUAGGCGGCGUGACAAGUCACUUGUGAAAUCUCCGGGCUUAACCCGGAGCGGCCAAGUGAUACUGUCGUGCUAGAGUGCGGAAGGGGCUACUGGAAUUCUCGGUGUAGCGGUGAAAUGCGUAGAUAUCAAGAGGAACACCUGAGGUGAAGACGGGUUGCUGGGCCAACACUGACGCUGAGGCGCGAAAGCCAGGGGAGCAAACGGG
rnacentral:rRNA from 1 species